UACAGAGGGGGCAAGCGUUGUUCGGAAUUAUUGGGCGUAAAGGGCGCGUAGGCGGCUGUACAAGUCAAAGGUGAAAUCCCUCGGCUCAACUGAGGAACUGCCUUUGAAACUGUACGGCUUGAGGCCGGGAGGGGGUAGCGGAAUUCCCAGUGUAGCGGUGAAAUGCGUAGAUACUGGGAGGAACACCAGUGGCGAAGGCGGCUACCUGGACCGGUUCUGACGCUGAGGCGCGAAAGCGUGGGUAGCAAACAGG
rnacentral:rRNA from 1 species